rnacentral:rRNA from 1 species
AGAGUUUGAUCAUGGCUCAGGACGAACGCUGGCGGCGUGCCUAAUACAUGCAAGUCGAGCGAAUCUUUGGGAGCUUGCUCCCAAUAGAUUAGCGGCGGACGGGUGAGUAACACGUGGGUAACCUGCCUGUAAGACUGGGAUAACUUCGGGAAACCGGAGCUAAUACCGGAUAGUUUCUUUUCUCGCAUGAGAGAAGAUGGAAAGAUGGUUUUGCUAUCACUUACAGAUGGACCCGCGGCGCAUUAGCUAGUUGGUGAGGUAACGGCUCACCAAGGCAACGAUGCGUAGCCGACCUGAGAGGGUGAUCGGCCACAUUGGGACUGAGACACGGCCCAAACUCCUACGGGAGGCAGCAGUAGGGAAUCUUCCGCAAUGGACGAAAGUCUGACGGAGCAACGCCGCGUGAGCGAAGAAGGCCUUCGGGUCGUAAAGCUCUGUUGUUAGGGAAGAACAAGUAUCGGAGUAACUACCGGUACCUUGACGGUACCUAACCAGAAAGCCACGGCUAACUACGUGCCAGCAGCCGCGGUAAUACGUAGGUGGCAAGCGUUGUCCGGAAUUAUUGGGCGUAAAGCGCGCGCAGGCGGUUCUUUAAGUCUGAUGUGAAAGCCCACGGCUUAACCGUGGAGGGUCAUUGGAAACUGGGGAACUUGAGUGCAGAAGAGGAGAGUGGAAUUCCACGUGUAGCGGUGAAAUGCGUAGAUAUGUGGAGGAACACCAGUGGCGAAGGCGACUCUCUGGUCUGUAACUGACGCUGAGGCGCGAAAGCGUGGGGAGCAAACAGGAUUAGAUACCCUGGUAGUCCACGCCGUAACGAUGAGUGCUAAGUGUUAGAGGGUUUCCGCCCUUUAGUGCUGCAGCUAACGCAUUAGCACUCCGCCUGGGGGAGUACGACCGCAAGUUGAACUCAAAGGGAAUGACGG